ensembl:snRNA U1 U1 spliceosomal RNA
AUACUUACCUGGCAGGGGUGAUACCAUGAUCAAGAAGGUGGUUUCUCCCAAGAUGAGGCUCAGCUAUUGCACUUUGGUGGUGCUGAGCCUUGCGAAUUCCCCAACGUGUGAAUCUUGACUGCAUAAUUUCUGAUGGUGUGGGCUGUGUGCAUUCUUCCAUA